GUCGAACGAGCGAGAGAGAGCUUACUUUCUCAAGCGAGUGGCGAACGGGUGAGUAACGCGUGAGGAACCUGCCUCAAAGAGGGGGACAACAGUUGGAAACGACUGCUAAUACCGCAUAAGCCCACGACCCGGCAUCGGGUAGAGGGAAAAGGAGCAAUCCGCUUUGAGAUGGCCUCGCGUCCGAUUAGCUAGUUGGUGAGGUAACGGCCCACCAAGGCGACGAUCGGUAGCCGGACUGAGAGGUUGAACGGCCACAUUGGGACUGAGACACGGCCCAGACUCCUACGGGAGGCAGCAGUGGGGAAUAUUGCACAAUGGGGGAAACCCUGAUGCAGCGACGCCGCGUGGAGGAAGAAGGUCUUCGGAUUGUAAACUCCUGUUGUUGAGGAAGAUAAUGACGGUACUCAACAAGGAAGUGACGGCUAACUACGUGCCAGCAGCCGCGGUAAAACGUAGGUCACAAGCGUUGUCCGGAAUUACUGGGUGUAAAGGGAGCGCAGGCGGGAAGACAAGUUGGAAGUGAAAUCCAUGGGCUCAACCCAUGAACUGCUUUCAAAACUGUUUUUCUUGAGUAGUGCAGAGGUAGGCGGAAUUCCCGGUGUAGCGGUGGAAUGCGUAGAUAUCGGGAGGAACACCAGUGGCGAAGGCGGCCUACUGGGCACCAACUGACGCUGAGGCUCGAAAGUGUGGGUAGCAAACAGGAUUAGAUACCCUGGUAGUCCACACUGUAAACGAUGAUUACUAGGUGUUGGAGGAUUGACCCCUUCAGUGCCGCAGUUAACACAAUAAGUAAUCCACCUGGGGAGUACGACCGCAAGGUU
rnacentral:rRNA from 1 species